GUAAUCUCCUCCACAAUGCAGACGCAUCCGACAGACUCACACCACAGCUUUUGUGGCUACAAAUUAAAACGGAUAAAUAUAUAACAGCGAUUGUCUCGGUUUGAAAGCAAACGCUAAAAAAAGGUAUAAGUGGAGAUGACUGAUGGAUUCGCCGGGUCUCCACACCACUGAUCCCAUUAAAUUAGGUGUUGUGUGGCUCAGAUGGUUGGGACCAUGUGCCCACCAUCAGAAGGUUGCUGGUUCGAAUUCCGUAUCAAAUCCACAGCAGACGUUGAUCCCUUGAACCAGGCCUCACUUGCUUUAGAGUGAACAGUGACUGACUUGGCUGCUAUUCCCAGGCUCACAUUCACCUGUGUGUGUCUCACGCAAGGCUGGAGGGGACAAACAAAUGGGAAUUAUCACAUGGCGACGAAUAACAUGUUGUUAUUCUACUAAAUUCCCAUCCCAUGAUUCCUCACACAUGGACAGAGUGACGGCACUGGAGGUUAUGCUUGUGUACCACCUCACAUUUUACGUCCUCGUUCAUUCAUGGUCAGCUUCUAAAAAGGAAGCGCUUCACGUUUUUGGGGAGGACAUACCAUGUAGCCCUUUGGAAUGCAACCUGAAGGCAACCAGACUGACCCAAUCUGCUAUAGAACAAAACCAAACUCAGCGGUUUGAUUCGGACCAUAUCCUACGGAUUUUAGGGCAGACUCUCAGGUAUGAAGAUUCUCCCGUUCAGCAUUCAGAAGAUUCUAGAUAAACCUUGAAAAAGGCAAAGUAAACCCAGCAAAAAAAUGCAUAAGACUCAAGUGAGGAACUGAAGACCAAACUACCUUUCAGGAAACAAAAGGCGCGUCCCCCCCCCCCCCCGGCUCCUUCAGAGACCAGAACCCAAGUGAACUUCAAAAAACACCAUCAACAAAAGAAUCAGGCACCAUCAGGAGCACUUUGUCUAAUAAAACACUGUGCAUAAGACAUCCUGUACAUCCCAGUAGGCUUCCCAGCAAAAAAAACAGACAAGCGUGAGAAGCAGCAAGGAUAAUUUUAUGACAUCAAACCAUGACCUUCAUCUCUACUGUGCGAUUAUUUAUGUUUGUAACAUGCACAUCAAUCAGUCACUGCAGCGCUUCUCAUAAUCUCACUGCACCCUAAUGGACACUGGAAGCCAGCAGGUAAAGUACGUAUUCUGUAGCCAUUAAACAGCCCAACACAAACACGUGACCAAACCCGUGACGAAAUACAUUCUUAUUUAGCA